CUGUUUCCCCUCAAAACCAGCAGCUUCCCUGUGUUUUUCAAACACCAAAAGCUGUAAAAAACCACGAUGACAUCUAUUUAUGUUACAUAACUGCAAGCCCUGAGUGCAAACUGCUCCCAGAUACAACUUCCCCCUGCUGCUGCUCUCCCAGGCACCCUCAAGUGGAGGGGAAACUACCUUUAAAAAGGUUUUCCCAGAAAACUGGCUCACAGGAAAACCUACUUCCAUCAAGAGCUGAGAGUGCCCCAAGUGAUGGGAACCCUCAUGAGAAGCUGGAAUUGGAAUUUUUCCCCUGGCCCAGCCAAGAGGAUAUUUCACAGAGAGCUUUUCUUCAGCAUCAGGAGAGAAGUACUAAUGUGACUUUAUUGGCCUGGAGAGACAGGACUACAAGCAAGCGCAAUAUGCACACAAAAGUCCAGACAACUGAAACUUCCAUGGAGUUUUCUGUUGAAAAACCUGCUGAUUUUUCUGUAAAAAAAAAAAAAAAAAAAAAAAAAAAAAAAAAAA